AAGAGAGAAGCCAAGCUUGUGGGGGAAACAUGGGCUCCAUAGAAGAACUGAGAGAGGCUAUUUAUUUAGCUGAAGAAGCUUGCCCAGGAAUUUCAGAUACCAUGGUGUCUGAACUAGUACAGAGGCUUCAGAGGUACUCAGUAGCUGGAGGGAGCAGCUCAUCCCACUGAAGUCUGACCCCGUGGCCCCCUUUGCAACGUCAGUGGGGCACCUGCAGGCACCUGUUCUCAGGUUGCUCUUCCACAAUUGGCAGGCAAUCACAUGGACAUUUCUGGAAGUGCAUCAACAGAAGAAGGUGUUUUAGCAAGAGCACUGUUUUUCAACUCUGUAUAGUUUUUUUUUUUUAAAUAAUGCACAUAUUCAAAGGAGGUAUCUUUAUACAUUUCUGAGAUGUAAAUUUAGGAUUUCAGUUAGGAACUAAAGCUAUUGUGAAAUCUCAGGUAUCUUGUGUUAAGUCAUUGGCCUUCAGCUCAAGGAUCCAUGGGUGGGUGGCAUUUCGAUCUGAAAUGUGUGCCCUAGUGGCACUGCCACCCUUUUCUUUGUUUUAAGGUUUUGUUUUAAGAAAGAAAUGGAAGCCUGGAGUUCAACCCCAUGUUCUACGUUUAAUUUAACAUGGAUUGGGGUUUGAAAGAGUUGAAGGCAACCGCUUUAAGUAAAAAAAAAAUCUGUGAAUUAGAUGUAUUAUUGGCUCUGUGUACAAAUUUGUAUAUAGUCACUUUUUUACUGAAAUUUGCUUGACAUGCAUACGGAUUCCUCUGUACAAAUUGCCAAGACCUUCUGUAGAUGAUACUAGUGAGGUAAAUAUUUUGACAGAUAGAUCAACUUAUUAUAGGCUUGUCUUUGUUUCUAUGAAAAUUUUAAAUUGUAUUAUAGCAGGGUUUGCUUGACCUUUGUUUAUAGGUCAGAAAUAAAGCCGUGCUAUAAAAAUCCAGUUUAUACCUCAGAUGCAGAUUUUUUUUUGUUACACAGUAGCAAUUUUUUUUUUUUGGUUUCUAAUCAUGGUACGAAACUGAUUGUUUUAAUUUAGGACAUUAUAUUCUUUGGAGUUCUCUAGUUUUGCUUAUCUUCAUGGUUUUAUAUCUUGUUUAAAAUUGUGCCAAUCCAAAGUUUAAAUUUGUUUUGAAUAGUUUUCUUUUGGAAUUAAUCUUAACAUAUAACUGAAAAAGGCACUUUUUUAUAUGCUUCCUAGAAAUCCUGGAUAAAUAAUGACAGUUUUGCAAAAUGCUGGUUAUAAAAAGUAUUUUAAAAAUGUGAGCAACUUUAGUUACAAUCAUUGAAAUCAAAAUUUGGGCUUAGUUUAAUAUCUGAAAUUCAUUGUGUGGUAGAGAAAGAUAUAUGAAAUUUCAUUAAGAUCUAAAAUAGAAAGCUGCAGUUCACUUUAAUAGGUAAGAACUAGUACAGUAUAACUCUUGUCUAUUGUUAAAAUAAAUACAUGAUAGAAAUCCCAUCUGAAUUUUUAUUUUGAGAUAUUUGGAGAAAAGUGGAAUAAAAGUGUAGUUAAAAGGGUGUGAUUAGUCAAGAAUUUUAGGAGGGGAUUGCUCUUUGUUGAUUUACAACAAAUUAAUGCUUUCAAUAUUAUUACACUGUUUUGAUUUCAACAUGAAAUCUGUAUUGUAAUCCUAAAAAAAAAAAUAAUAAACACAGUAACUCUAAAAGACAACUUGCUGUAGAAGAUUUAACCCUAUGACCAAGCCUUUGGUGAAAAUCUCCUUUCUAAUUUGUUUUGAGAAAAUCAUAAUAAUGGAAUAAAGGAUGGGCACAUUGUGUCAAUGGAAAUGAACUCACUGCAUGUUUAGAAUCUAUAAUAUCCUCUUAUCAAUGUAAAGAUUGAACAAUUUACUAAAUUGAGUGGAAAUAAUAUUUUGCUGCCUUGUGUUUGACUCAGCUAUGUUGCCAUCCCAUUAGAGUGGGUGUGAUGUUAACUGGAUGGAUUUUGUAUUAGUCUCUACCCCAGUGUUUAUAGUCUGUGAAAUGUAGCAUGAUGUAAGCUACACAUUGAAUUAGGAUAAGGUAGGUGAGAUAACUCUCACGAGUUUUCAGCUAAGCUUGUAUGCAGUCCCAGAUCUGGUAACCUUUUAAGACUUUUGAUUGCAAGAAUGUUGACUUAAAGAUUUUGUUAAAUGGAAACCAAAAAAACCUCAAUGACUUCCUCUUUAAAAUUAGUAAAUUAAUAUUUUGUCAGAGCUAUGUUCUUCUACAGAUAUGGUUUUUCCAAUAGUUUAUUUUAAAUCAGUUAAAAGGUUGCUAUAUUUAUAUUGCCAGUUUGCUGUUUUGAGCCAGUGCAGUUUAUUUUAAUAUCAGUUUAAUUGACUUAAUCCCAUAUAAAUUGUAAAUAACCAAUUUCGUUGUAUUUAAGUACAAUGACAAUAAAGAUUAUACUUAUACUUAAAUACACAUAGAAUUUCAAAAUGACAUCUUGUUUGAUAUAAAUGAAACAACUUGGUGAAAGCAAAUUGUCUUUGCAUUAUAUUGUAAUCAAAUUUAAACUAAAACACCUUUUGUUGUUUCUGGUCCAUUUUUACUCUGACUGUUUAACUUUGCAAUACUGUUUAUUGAUCCUUUAAAUAUUGUUUUAGAACUGUCCUAAAAAAAUCCAGCAUUGCAGUGUUGUAUGUAUUCAGGAUUAGUCUUUGGCGGUUGAUAGCAGUUUCCUGCAUAUUAAAUAAGGUAAUUUUUCUGUCGUUUUGCUAAAGGGCACCAAAAUUUCCUGGUGUAGAGUGGACAAAUUUCCCAUUUUUCAUAAUGAAAUUGCUAAGCAAUCUGAAAGUAAGCCAAGUGUUUCAAACUGCAAAGGUUUUAUAUCUGGGUCUGUUGGGCCACUUUUUAACUAUUAAUUAGAAUAUAUAUUUCCAUUGUAGCCACACACUUGUAAAUGAACUCCUGAGACCACUGAUUUUUCUUGUGAAAUUGUGACAAGUUGCUCCUGUUUACUCACAACCGUUUAGGUGCCACCCUCCACCUCCCCCCACCCCGAAUUCAUUGCACUGUAUUUUGAUUGGUUCUUGACCCUUAUAUGAAGCAUUUUGUAUGUUACAUAAUUUUCAGUAUUGAUAUUUUUGUAAUAGUUUAGAACCUAUUGAAGUUGCUUUCAAUAAUAGUGGAAUUUUGCAGCCAUUAGUGCAAACAGGGGUGCGUUGUAUAUUGGCUUAUAUAUGUAUCAAUGGAUGGAAGGAUUUAAUUGUGAAGUUGAAGGAUAACAGGUAUGUUGGGAUGCAAAGUCCUAAAAUCGGCUUCCUCUCUCAUAUAAAGGCAGUGAGCCAAAGCACAAACAUAAAAAUAGACUUCAUUGUAUCCUUGUCAAUCUGCUACUGAAUUGAAGUCAUAAAUAACACAAAAUGGCAAAGCAGUUAUUUUGUCAUUUUAAAGCCUUACUGAUACACUAUUAUAAAUGUUGAUGGGCAGGAGUCCAUUUGAUGACACGAAUGAAAUUUUUCUAGUCAGCAAUUAUUUAUUGUGGGUUUGGAAUGCUGUGAAAUACCUGUAGAAAGCAAACAACUGGAUCUUGCAAAGUUACAUGUAGACUUUUGUGACUUUUCCAUCUAUUGAUCCCCCUCCCCUCUUUGGCACCCAUGUAUAUGGACGUAUACAAAAUCUUAGUAACACUUGUGCACCUGACAAAGUAGAUUAGUCCAGCAAUGUGCAAAGGAUGUUUCUUUAGUUUUCAUUUCCAAAAUUUAUAAAAUGAAUUAGCAAUGUAACCUAUGGCUCUUGCAUUAUGUCCAAACAAGUCAUUUUACACAGGGGUUUUGGGGUGGAAGGUGGAGGCUAUUCUAGCAAACAUCUGUGCAUAUAUGAUGCAUAGAAUGUUGAAAGUGCUUAAAUUAGCAAAUAAAAUCCUCCUUUCCAUUAUAUACACAACAUAAAGGGUAUAUAACACUGUACACUAGAAUGACUUGUAAUAUUUCAAAAAAUUACACUAAGUAUCCCAGAAUAUUUCCUGGAAAGUUUUCAAUUUAAAACACUGUAGUAAAUCAAUAACACUGAUCUCUAAUCCAAUUUAUGCCAUAAUAAAUUGGUUAAGAUGUCACAAGACUUUAUUUUUGCUCUUUUAGGUUAGCAUAGUUACUGUUGUACAUUAUGGUGAACUAGAAAUGUUCUUAAUUAGAGAUGUUUAAUUGUUAGAGCCAUAAAUCAAUUUUAAAUGUCUUCAGAUUUAAAAUUAUGGAUACUAGAAAGAGAACAGUAAUUGUAUAUUUCUGUCAUCUAAUAACUUUUAGUAGAGUCUGAAUAUACAAAACAUCUACAUACUUGAGGAAUUCACAGUAGCUGGAUAAAAUAUUCUAAGUAUGAGUUGGAUGCUUUUUUUAAAGAGAAGCAUAAAAUUAUGAUUUCCUUGCUGAAUUACGGCAAAGGUCUAACUGGUCAACAGUUGCUUUUUGGAAAUGCACAACAUAGCAGUCUAAUAUCUGGCUUAUUUUUUCAUAAGCAUCUGGGAAUGCCUUUUUUAAAUCUCUAUCCAUUCAGGUCCCAUUUUUAGCCAUCAUGUGAUAUAUGCAAUGAAGACCUAUUCUUUGAUCAGGCUCUGUUUACUUCUGUAAUUCUGCUGUUUAUAACCUGUAUACAGUAUAUUUGCUUAUGUCAGAUAUCAACCUAUUCUCAAAACCUUGUAUGUUUCAUGACACAGAAAUAAAGAAAUACAACCAUUUUGAUAUGUCAUUGAGCAGCGUAUUUAUAUCACAUACUUUACAAGAAAGUACACUUCAGAAGUUAGCGACACUUAAAGGGAAAAACAGGAUCAUAAGCUAUUGUGUUAUUGCAAGUCCAAGCACUAUUAUGGCUGCAGUGUUCUGCAAUAACAGAUGUAAAUAUUUUUAUAGAAUUGUUAAGUUGUAUACAGAUGGAAAUAUUGCCUAAGAAUUUUGAGUGUUUCCCCCAGUCAUGGCUAGACUAAAACAGAAUUACAAAGGAGGUAUAUACUUUUUGAAUCAGUUUUGAUAUAGGAAGUGCCAUGCAUAUAUGACUAAGUCUAGACUCACACCACAUAUGUGGUUAUCAAUUUUGCAGUCAAUCAGCAAAACUGUCACAUGUUUUCUUGACAAACCGCUGAGGAUGGCUUGUGUCAGUCAGGGCUUGUUUAGUUGCUUUCUUUAGUUGUGUGUGUGUGUGUGUGUGUGAUCAAGGAAAUGACAAUGCAAUUGGCACAAACUGUUUCAGUUAAUUAGUUUUAAUUAUUUGAAACCAAACAUAGAAGUGCAUAAUCCCAUUCGCGGAGCUGGGGUGGGUGUGGCCUACACAUGACACAUCUGACCCGCCAGCCGCCAGUUUGAUACCCCUGGCAUCCAUAUUGUAAUCUGAAGUAAAAUGGGGAAUGGAGUAAAAUGGGGAAAACCUUUAUAUGCACUUUCAGUGCCGUUGCUGCUUUAUUUAGGAACAUUAAUGUUAAUGUUAAAAAAGGCGGUGUGAUUAUUAUAUCUUGAAUGGAAAUCUAAACAGCAAGAGCUGAAAGCAAAAAUAAAUUUGUAUAAAGCAAUGUUCCUGCAAGAGGUCUCUGAUAGGUAAUAGAAAACAGUGACUAAUUGAUUUGUGCUCAUGCUAUUUAUACCCUAAGCAACAGACAGUGGCAAAUGCUGAAAACUUGUGCCACCCUUAGCUACCGUGGCUUCCCAGGCCAGGAAGCAAAUCCAGCUCCUAUAACCAGACCAUUGCAAACCUUGUUUAACAGAAAAGGCACAAGCUAAGAUAGUAAAUAAGGAAGAUGGUCAUAAGUUUGCAUGAUUUUAUAUGAAACCCUCAAAAUUGUAUGCAAAACCUUCUCUAAAUAUAGUUUCAGCUGUUUUGGCUUUACUUCUUUCUUCUCCCAAUCUAUUUGUAGCUGUUUAUUUCUCUAAGAAACAGAAGAAGCUGGGGAGGUUUCAACCAGACAUAAUGAGGUCAGAAGCAGCCUAGUUGACUUGGUUCAUCUUCUUCCCACCACUUAAAAACAAAACAACAAUUAAAAAGGAGUGGCUCUUUUAUAGCAACAAGGGUCUACAGCCUUCCAGGAUUCAGCUUCAAUUUCAUGGUAUAGCUGGAAAAAAAACACCAAACCACAGCCUUGGUGGUGGUGGUGGUGUUGCAGGAAGGGAAGAGGUAUUGGAGAGAAAACCUUUUGAAUCAACCCUGGAUUGCAAAAUGCAUGUUGGGAUGUGCAGGCCAAAGGAAGGCUCAUGCGUGUGGCUAGACAACUUUUCAUGGACUCACUUUGAUGAACUUGCGUUAAGUUGCCCAAAUCAGUUGCACACAUAAAUUAUGUGAUAUCAAUUAUGUGCAUUCAAAAUAACAUUUGUUUUGUAAAAGGCAAGAAAAAACAUCUUCAAAAGAAACCCUCCAAGCUAUAGAGUUUUUAAAGCUGUUGAGGUAUUUUAUUCCCUUUUCAGUAAGCAAAUCUUAAAACAUGUUUAUACAACAGAGCCUCUAUAUUUGGCAAACCUGCUCUUAAAGCAAGAGAUUGAUUGAUAACCCUUUCUCUUAAAAUGUGCCACAAAUGUGCUGGGAUUCAUAUUACAUCUAAUAAUACACAAUAAAUUUAUUCCAACCGCUGGAAAAUGUAUAUUCUCAGUCAAAUC